CCUACGGGUGGCAGCAGUCGAGAAUCAUUCACAAUGGGGGAAACCCUGAUGGUGCGACGCCGCGUGGGGGAAUGAAGUUCUUCGGAUUGUAAACCCCUGUCAUGUGGGAGCAAAUUAAAAAGAUCGUACCACACUAGGCAGAGACGGCUAACUCUGUGCCAGCAGCCGCGGGAAUACAGAGGUCUCAAGCGUUGUUCGGAAUCACUGGGCGUAAAGCGUGCGUAGGCUGUUUUGUAAGGCGAGUGUGAAAGGCGCGGGCUCAACCCGCGGACGGCACAUGAUACUGCGAGACUAGGGUAAGGGAGGGGGAACCGGAAUUCGCGGUGUAGCAGUGAAAUGCGUAGAUAUCGAGAGGAACACUCGUGGCGAAGGCGGGUUCCUGGACAGUAACUGACGCUGAGGCACGAAGGCCAGGGGAGCGAAAGGGAUUAGAUACCCUUGUAGUC
rnacentral:rRNA from 1 species